UAGGGAAUUUUCCACAAUGCCCGAAAGGGUGAUGGAGCGACGUCGCGUGGGCGAUGAAGGCCUUCGGGUUGUAAAGCCCUGUUGUAAAGGACGAAAAUGACGGUACUUUACAAGGAAGCCUCGGCUAACUCUGUGCCAGCAGCCGCGGUAAGACAGAGGAGGCAAGCAUUAUCCGGAAUGACUGGGUGUAAAAUGUGCGUAGGCGGUUAAAUAAGUCAUGUGUGAAAUCCUGGAGCUUAACUCCAGAAGUGCACUUGAUACUGUUUGACUUGAGUUCUGGGGAAGAAAGCGGAAUUCCCGGUGGAGCGGUGAAAUGCGUAGAUAUCGGGAGGAACACCAAUGGCGCAGGCAGCUUUCUAUUCGGAAACUGACGCUGAGUCACGAAAGCUAGGGGAGCAAACAGG
rnacentral:rRNA from 1 species